rnacentral:rRNA from 1 species
GACGAACGCUGGCGGCGUGCUUAACACAUGCAAGUCGAACGGAAAGGCCUGCUUUCCCCUGUGGAUUGCGGGUACUCGAGUGGCGAACGGGUGAGUAACACGUGAGUGAUCUGCCCCCAACUUGGGUAUAAGCCUGGGAAACUGGGUCUAAUUCCCGAUAGGACUGCAGGGUGGUGCCUGUGGUGGAAAACGAUUUUCUAGUGGUUGGGGAUGAGCUCGCGGCCUAUCAGCUUGUUGGUGGGGUAAUGGCCUACCAAGGCGGCGACGGGUAGCCGGCCUGAGAGGGUGGACGGCCACAUUGGGACUGAGAUACGGCCCAGACUCCUACGGGAGGCAGCAGUGGGGAAUAUUGCACAAUGGGCGGAAGCCUGAUGCAGCGACGCCGCGUGGGGGAUGACGGCCUUCGGGUUGUAAACUCCUUUCGACCGCGAGGAAGCCACCUGGUUGGAAGGGUGGUGACGGUAGUGGUAGAAGAAGCACCGGCUAACUACGUG